rnacentral:rRNA from 1 species
UACGGGGGGAGCAAGCGUUGUUCGGAUUUACUGGGCGUAAAGGGCGCGUAGGCGGGCUGCCGCGUCCGGGGUGAAAUCCCACGGCUUAACUGUGGAACUGCUUAGUAUACUGCCGAUCUUGAGUCAUUUAGGGGCAGCCGGAACAGAUGGUGGAGCGGUGAAAUGCGUAGAUAUCAUCUGGAACGCCAAUGGUGCAGACAGGCUGCUGGGAAUGAACUGACGCUGAGGCACGAAAGCCAGGGGAGCGAACGGG